UUUCACUGAUUUAGCUGUAUGACCCUUGGCAAAUGUUUUAAUCUACUUGAGCUUCAAUAUUUUAGUAAUAAGGAUUUUUUCUAAGGACUUGAUAACUAUCAGUGAAGUUAGAGCAACAGUUUAUGAAGCAGUCUGACAUACAAUACACGCUCAUUGUACAAAUUUGAAAAAUGUAGAAAAGCAUUGAGAUGAAAAAAAUUAUAAUCAUAUUACCCAGACAUAAUCAAUGUUUAAUAUUUUAGAAUAUAUUAUUCUAGUCUACUUUCAAUGCACAUGUGUUUUGUUUUUGUUUUUGUUUGAGACUCUGUCUCCAAAAAAAAAAAAAUGCUUGCUUCAGCAGCACAUACUAAAAUUGGAAUUAUACAGAGAAGAUUAGCAUAGCCCCUGCACAAGAAUGACGCAU
rnacentral:lncRNA from 1 species